GUACUUGGUUUGGCAGCACAUACAUUAAAAUUGGGAUGAUACAGAGAUUAGUACGGCCCAGUGCAAGGGUGACAUGCACAUUUGUGAAGCGUCCCAUAUUUAA